rnacentral:lncRNA from 1 species
GUUUUAUCGGUAUAAAUAUUGCGAGUUAUUAUUAAAUUAAAAACUAACUAAAUGUUUAAACAAAUCCCGCCACAUUCUAUAUGUGCAUGUCCCGUGUAGAGAGCCUGUAGUUUAAUGGUUGUAAUUUGUUGAUGUGGAUUACCUGUAAAUACGAAUUCCCCAAAACUGGUAUCCCCCAAAAAUAAUGAUUAAUCAUCAGUAAUGGAACAAAAAUACAUUACAAAUAAUAGUUUAUAAAUAUACAUUAAACAAAUGUUAUUCUGAAAAAGAAAUCACUUUUAUGGAUGGUUGACUUAUGUACAAAUUCAAGAGCAUAUAUAAAAAAGAAAAACAUAGAAACACAUUGCACCGGUAUGAAAACUACGCUUAAUAUUUUGCUUUUUUUUAUUUUUUCAUGAAUUGUCUUUGUUGCCCUAUCACUUUCCUCCCG